CGGCCUGACGAACCCCGAAGCGACCGCACCCGACACCCCAACUGGCUCAAUUGAUCGGUUCUUGUGAUCGAGGAUCGACUUUUGGAUCUGUUGUGAUAUAUGUUGUAGGUGGUGUGUGCAUGCAUUGUAAUUUCAAAUUUGUUUUACUCUAUUUGUUUCGAUCGUCGUGUGUUUCUUGUAAGCUGAGGGGUCGUUGUUGCAGGCUUGCAGCCAUAUGAGGCUACGGUAUGUAACUAUUUCUAUCAUAACCGUGUGUUCAUUGCUGUUAUUGCUGUUUCUACGUACGUAAGUGAAUGUUUUGUGGUUUGGAUCAAAAAAGUUUCAACCAAAUCGGUGAUCUUUAACGUUUCGAACUAGCUUAAAUCAAUGGACGGUUUAAAUCUGCCAAUCAUGAACUGUUCAUGAAAAUUGUAAUUUUAAGUACCUUAACGAUCACCAAUUUAGAUAAAAUUUUGCAUAAGUAAUCUACAUAUUAGGACUUAAAAACUGAAUGGUUAAAAUUAAAAAAUGUGAUCGAAAAGUUAAUUUAAUGUUCAAUCCCUCGUAUAAAUCAUAAUAAAGGAUCAUAUAUUCUCCAUGUCAUAUAAACUUCUAAAUCUUCGUAAUCUAGCUAGCUUCAUGUAAAAGUUAACCAAUCAUGUCCUGAUGAGUCCUUUGUUUUCAACAACAUUAUCUUUUACUACUGUAGUUAGCUUGACUCUGGUGCUAGUUUCGUUUAGUUUGUUCUUAUU
rnacentral:lncRNA from 1 species